rnacentral:rRNA from 1 species
CUUAGAAGCAGCCAUCAUUUAAAGAAAGCGUAAUAGCUCACUGGUCGAGUCGGCCUGCGCGGAAGAUGUAACGGGGCUAAACCAUGCACCGAAGCUGCGGCAGCGACACUAUGUGUUGUUGGGUAGGGGAGCGUUCUGUAAGCCUGUGAAGGUGUGCUGUGAGGCAUGCUGGAGGUAUCAGAAGUGCGAAUGCUGACAUAAGUAACGAUAAAGCGGGUGAAAAGCCCGCUCGCCGGAAGACCAAGGGUUCCUGUCCAACGUUAAUCGGGGCAGGGUGAGUCGACCCCUAAGGCGAGGCCGAAAGGCGUAGUCGAUGGGAAACAGGUUAAUAUUCCUGUACUUGGUGUUACUGCGAAGGGGGGACGGAGAAGGCUAUGUUGGCCGGGCGACGGUUGUCCCGGUUUAAGCGUGUAGGCUGAUUUUCCAGGCAAAUCCGGAAAAUCAAGGCUGAGGCGUGAUGACGAGGCACUACGGUGCUGAAGCAACAAAUGCCCUGCUUCCAGGAAAAGCCUCUAAGCAUCAGGUAACAUCAAAUCGUACCCCAAACCGACACAGGUGGUCAGGUAGAGAAUACCAAGGCGCUUGAGAGAACUCGGGUGAAGGAACUAGGCAAAAUGGUGCCGUAACUUCGGGAGAAGGCACGCUGAUAUGUAGGUGAAGCGACUUGCUCGUGGAGCUGAAAUCAGUCGAAGAUACCAGCUGGCUGCAACUGUUUAUUAAAAACACAGCACUGUGCAAACACGAAAGUGGACGUAUACGGUGUGACGCCUGCCCGGUGCCGGAAGGUUAAUUGAUGGGGUUAGCGGUAACGCGAAGCUCUUGAUCGAAGCCCCGGUAAACGGCGGCCGUAACUAUAACGGUCCUAAGGUAGCGAAAUUCCUUGUCGGGUAAGUUCCGACCUGCACGAAUGGCGUAAUGAUGGCCAGGCUGUCUCCACCCGAGACUCAGUGAAAUUGAACUCGCUGUGAAGAUGCAGUGUACCCGCGGCAAGACGGAAAGACCCCGUGAACCUUUACUAUAGCUUGACACUGAACAUUGAGCCUUGAUGUGUAGGAUAGGUGGGAGGCUUUGAAGUGUGGACGCCAGUCUGCAUGGAGCCGACCUUGAAAUACCACCCUUUAAUGUUUGAUGUUCUAACGUUGGCCCGUUAUCCGGGUUGCGGACAGUGUCUGGUGGGUAGUUUGACUGGGGCGGUCUCCUCCUAAAGAGUAACGGAGGAGCACGAAGGUUGGCUAAUCCUGGUCGGACAUCAGGAGGUUAGUGCAAUGGCAUAAGCCAGCUUGACUGCGAGCGUGACGGCGCGAGCAGGUGCGAAAGCAGGUCAUAGUGAUCCGGUGGUUCUG